CAGGCUUAACACAUGCAAGUCGAGGGGCAGCAUGGUCUUAGCUUGCUAAGGCCGAUGGCGACCGGCGCACGGGUGAGUAACACGUAUCCAACCUGCCGUCUACUCUUGGACAGCCUUCUGAAAGGAAGAUUAAUACAAGAUGGCAUCAUGAGUCCACAUGUUCACAUGAUUAAAGGUAUUCCGGUAGACGAUGGGGAUGCGUUCCAUUAGAUAGUAGGCGGGGUAACGGCCCACCUAGUCUUCGAUGGAUAGGGGUUCUGAGAGGAAGGUCCCCCACAUUGGAACUGAGACACGGUCCAAACUCCUACGGGAGGCAGCAGUGAGGAAUAUUGGUCAAUGGGCGCAGGCCUGAACCAGCCAAGUAGCGUGAAGGAUGACUGCCCUAUGGGUUGUAAACUUCUUUUAUAAAGGAAUAAAGUCGGGUAUGCAUACCCGUUUGCAUGUACUUUAUGAAUAAGGAUCGGCUAACUCCGUGCCAGCAGCCGCGGUAAUACGGAGGAUCCGAGCGUUAUCCGGAUUUAUUGGGUUUAAAGGGAGCGUAGAUGGAUGUUUAAGUCAGUUGUGAAAGUUUGCGGCUCAACCGUAAAAUUGCAGUUGAUACUGGAUAUCUUGAGUGCAGUUGAGGCAGGCGGAAUUCGUGGUGUAGCGGUGAAAUGCUUAGAUAUCACGAAGAACUCCGAUUGCGAAGGCAGCCUGCUAAGCUGCAACUGACAUUGAGGCUCGAAAGUGUGGGUAUCAAACAGGAUUAGAUACCCUGGUAGUCCACACGGUAAACGAUGAAUACUCGCUGUUUGCGAUAUACAGCAAGCGGCCAAGCGAAAGCGUUAAGUAUUCCACCUGGGGAGUACGCCGGCAACGGUGAAACUCAAAGGAAUUGACGGGGGCCCGCACAAGCGGAGGAACAUGUGGUUUAAUUCGAUGAUACGCGAGGAACCUUACCCGGGCUUAAAUUGCAGAUGAAUUACGGUGAAAGCCGUAAGCCGCAAGGCAUCUGUGAAGGUGCUGCAUGGUUGUCGUCAGCUCGUGCCGUGAGGUGUCGGCUUAAGUGCCAUAACGAGCGCAACCCUUGUUGUCAGUUACUAACAGGUUCCGCUGAGGACUCUGACAAGACUGCCAUCGUAAGAUGUGAGGAAGGUGGGGAUGACGUCAAAUCAGCACGGCCCUUACGUCCGGGGCUACACACGUGUUACAAUGGGGGGUACAGAGGGCCGCUACCACGCGAGUGGAUGCCAAUCCCAAAAACCUCUCUCAGUUCGGACUGGAGUCUGCAACCCGACUCCACGAAGCUGGAUUCGCUAGUAAUCGCGCAUCAGCCACGGCGCGGUGAAUACGUUCCCGGGCCUUGUACACACCGCCCGUCAAGCCAUGGGAGCCGGGGGGUACCUGAAGUGCGUAACCGCGAGGAGCGCCCUAGGGUAAAACUGGUGACUGGGGCUAAGUCAUAACA
rnacentral:rRNA from 1 species